AUUCUACUAAAAACAUAUUUGGCUAAAUAAUUCUCCUUUUGCCAUAUAGAAGUCAUGGUGAAAUUUUUUUUAAAGGCGAUGAACUAUUUACCACCUUUAUAAAAGCGGUAACGAAAUAAUAAAAGAGAAAGACGGUGAAUAAUUUACCAUUUUGGUGAAAAAUUAAAAAAACGGUAAAUUAUUUAUCGUCUUCAUGAAGCGGUAAACUAAAUUUUCACCAUGGGCCCGUGGCUCCUACAUUACAAAAGAAGGGUUAGUUUGCCAAUUUUUUUUUUAUAGAAUUGUUUAUCAAAUUAAAAAAUUCUGUAGGGUUAUUUUCAAAAAAAGUCUGCGUGCAAGAUAAUUUUAAAGUUUGCGAGGAUAUAUAAGUAAUUUUCUAUUUUUU
rnacentral:lncRNA from 1 species